AUUGAACGCUGGCGGCAUGCUUUACACAUGCAAGUCGAACGGUAACAGGGUGCUUGCACCGCUGACGAGUGGCGAACGGGUGAGUAAUGCGUCGGAACGUGCCGAGUAGUGGGGGAUAACGCAGCGAAAGUUGUGCUAAUACCGCAUACGUACUGAGGUAGAAAGUGGGGGACCUUCGGGCCUCACGCUAUUCGAGCGGCCGACGUCUGAUUAGCUAGUAGGUGAGGUAAGAGCUCACCUAGGCGACGAUCAGUAGCGGGUCUGAGAGGAUGCUCGGCCACACGGGGACUGAGACACGGCCGAGACUCCGACGGGAGGCAGCAGUGGGGAAUUUUGGACAAUGGGCGCAAGCCUGAUACAGCCAUGCCGCGUGUCUGAAGAAGGCCUUCGGGUUGUAAAGGACUUUUGUCAGGGAGGAAAUCCUAGUGGCUAAUAACUGCUGGGGAUGACAGUACCUGAAGAAUAAGCACCGGCUAACUACGUGCCAGCAGCCGCGGUAAAAC
rnacentral:rRNA from 1 species